GAGGAGGAGGAAGUGGAUACGGCGGUUCCUCUGGAGGUGGAGGAGGAGGAAGUGGAUACGGCGGUUCCUCUGGAGGUGGAGGAGGAGGAAGUGGAUACGGCGGUUCCUCUGGAGGUGGAGGAGGAGGAGGAAGUGGAUA